UCUGGGGUCUCCGAGGGCGCGAGCCUAGCCGGCCAGGGGCUGCGUACGGUCGAGCCUCUCGCAGCGCCUUAGCAACGGCGGUAUGAGUACGGGAGGGCUUCGGUGUCCUUUUUGCGCCUGCUCCGCACCUCCCAGUGCCAGUGAGGAAACAGGCCGGGUCAGGGCUGAACCGGGAACGAAAUUCAGCUUGGGCUCGGGGCUUCCACCCGCCUGCCCCGCCACAGCUCGUUGCCACGCCUCUUCUCCAUCUCCCCUCCGAUCUUCUGUUUCUUUAGGGAGGUGAGAACUUCUGCCUCACGACGUUGUUGGGAGGAUGAAACCAACGUGAUGGCGCGUUGUAAAUAUACAACGCUAGGGAAAAGACUAGGUGGCACUUGUUGGUCGCGGGGAAACCACAGGUCAGAGUGUGGCUGGGCGGGUCUGAAGGUCCCGCUCCCGCCCUACACGGUCCCCCUUCCCAUUGCUUCAGAAGUGAGAAAGGGCAUUGUCCCUGUUGUAUGGUGCAGUCCUUUGGAUGAGGCUUCUGUGUGAGUUCGGUGGAAUCCAACUUCAAAAGGAGGGAACUCAGUAUGGGAAACUCUGAAGCUGGGCCAGGAUUUUACAGCUGCAAAGACCUAGAAUAUGCUUUUAAGAUGGGGCCAUUCAGGAUGUAUGAAGAAUCGGUGCCAUUUCCCGUCAAUUUUGUUCAAACAAAUUCUACGACUAUUAUUUUCUUUCUACUUUGGACAGAAGGGUGGGGAGUUGGGCGUGGGACAUCAUUUGUUCAUUCAAAUAAUCACCUAUUCUGAGCAGGACAUGGCUCUAUGGUGUGUGGGGAAUGAUGAUCCCUGGACAGAUACUUGCGUGAACUUAAUAGCUGUUGCUAUGCAAACGUGGAGGACCUUAUCCUCAAGGGGCUUUAGGGCCUAUUAGAGAAGAUGAAAACAUUGUGUGACGCAAAUCCAAAGUGGUAAAUACUGGAGAAGUAUAAGGUAUUACUGGGGUUCAGAGAAAGGCCUUUACUCCUGAAUGGCAACAUCAGGAGAAAACCAUGUGAGCCAAGAAAUCCAGGUGGAACAAGGGGCAACUCCUAAGGAUAUACAGUAGUUCAGUAUGGCCAGAGGGUUGGAUACGUGUACAGGUUUUAGAGGAAAUAGAAAAAAUGGAGUUGGGAACGGAGUCCUACUGCGUAAUGGGUCUUCUCCAGUUUCUUCCAACCAAGACUCAUAGAGGAUCUAGCAGUGAUGUCACCAACUAUCCUUCUGAAUGUAUUGUAGUGUGUGUUUUAUGUUUGAAUGUCAGUGUCAUCUGUGCUUUUAUUAGAUUCCGAGGCAUUGUGGGCUUAGAGAAUGGGACUGGAAGUGGCCUUGGAGCCAUAACUCUACCUAGCACCUCAACAAAUAUUAAACCUGGUUAAAUCUUUUCAAAGAUAGUGUCCCUACCGUUAUAUCAAAAACUUG